UCAAGUGACUAAGUGUAUGUGGUGGAUGCCUUGGCGAUCAUAGGCGAUGAAGGACGUGUAAGCCUGCGAAAAGCUGCGGGGAGUCGGCAAAAAGACUUUGAUCCGCAGAUGUCCGAAUGAGGAAACUCACCGGGUAACCGGUAUCACAAACUGAAUACAUAGGUUUGUGAAGCGAACGCAGUGAACUGAAACAUCUAAGUAACUGCAGGAAAAGAAAUCAACCGAGAUUGCGGCAGUAGCGGCGAGCGAAACCGCAGCAGCCUAGUCUUUGAUAAUGCAUGGUGACAGCAGAACGGUCUGGAAAGGCCGGCCACAGUGGGUGACAGCCCCGUAUGCGAAGUCCGGUGCAUGGUACUAAGGAGACGAUAAGUAGGGCGGGACACGUGACAUCCUGUCCGAAGACGGGGGGACCAUCCUCCAAGGCUAAAUACUCAUGAUCGACCGAUAGCGAACCAGUACUGUGAAGGAAAGGCGAAAAGAACCCCGGGAGGGGAGUGAAAUAGAACCUGAAACCGCAUACAUACAAACAGUAGGAGCCCUACGGGGUGACUGCGUACCUUUUGCAUAAUGGGUCAGCGACUUACGUUUUGCGGCAAGCUUAACCGAGUAGGGGAGGCGCAGCGAAAGCGAGUUCGAACAGAGCGAUAGAGUCGUAAGGCGUAGACCCGAAACCAGAUGAGCUAACCAUGGCCAGGUUGAAGGUGUGGUAACACACACUGGAGGACCGAACCGACCGGUGUUGCAAAACCGGCGGAUGAGCUGUGGUUAGGGGUGAAAGGCUUAACAAAUCUGGAGAUAGCUGGUUCUCCCCGAAAACUAUUGAGGUAGUGCCUCGUGACUGACUCCGGGGGGUAGAGCACUGUUAUGGCUAGGGGGACAUGGCGUCUUACCAAACCAUGGCAAACUCCGAAUACCCGGAAGUUGAAUCACGGGAGACAGAGCACCGGGUGCUAACGUCCGGACUCAAAAGGGAAACAACCCAGACCGCCGUUUAAGGUCCCAAAUACAGGCUAAGUGGAAAACGAAGUGUGAAGGCUAAGACAGUCAGGAAGUUGGCUUAGAAGCAGCCAUCCUUCAAAGAAAGCGUAAUAGCUCACUGAUCGAGUCCUCAUGCGCGGAAGAUGUAACGGGGCUAAGUCUGUAACCGAAAGCGCGGAUUUGUACGCAAGUACAAGUGGUAGGGGAGCGUUCUGUAAGCCUGCGAAGGUGUGUGGUAACGCAUGCCGGAGGUAUCAGAAGUGCGAAUGCUGACAUGAGUAACGAUAAAGCGGGUGAAAAGCCCGCUCGCCGUAAGCCCAAGGUUUCCUGCUCUACGUUCAUCGGAGCAGGGUGAGUCGGCCCCUAAGGCCAGGCUGAGAAGCGUAGCUGAUGGGAAGCAGAUUAAGAUUUCUGCACCGACGUUAAGUGCGAAGGGGGGACGGAGUUUUGAGCAUCAUCCGGGUGUUGGAUGUCCCGGUUUGUGCGUGUAGGAGGCCGGCAGGCAAAUCCGCCGGCGAAUCUCCGAGACAAAGCAUCGAGCUGCAUUUUGCAGUGAAGUGAUGGGAUGAACUUCCAGGAAAAGCCUCUAAGCAAUAGCUUAAUGUCGACCGUACCGUAAACCGACACAGGUGGGCGAGUUGAAUAUACUCAGGCGCUUGAGAGAACUCGGGAGAAGGAACUCGGCAAAUUGACACCGUAACUUCGGGAUAAGGUGUGCCUUUGUAGUGUGAAGAGUGAAACACUCCGAGCAUGAAGAGGUCACAGAGAAUAGGUGGCUGCAACUGUUUACUAAAAACACAGCACUCUGCAAAGACGAAAGUCGACGUAUAGGGUGUGAUGCCUGCCCGGUGCCGGAAGAUUAAGUGAUGGGGUGAGAGCUCCUGAUCGAAGUCCCGGUAAACGGCGGCCGUAACUAUAACGGUCCUAAGGUAGCGAAAUUCCUUGUC
rnacentral:rRNA from 1 species